UACGUAAGGAUCGAGCGUUGUCCGGAAUCAUUGGGCGUAAAGGGUACGUAGGCGGAUUAGUAAGUUAGAAGUGAAAUACUAUAGCUCAACUAUAGUAAGCAUUUAAAACUGCUCAUCUUGAGGUAUGGAAGGGAAAGUGGAAUUCCUAGUGUAGCGGUGAAAUGCGCAGAUAUUAGGAGGAAUACCGGUAGCGAAGGCGACUUUCUGGACAUAAACUGACGCUGAGGUACGAAAGCGUGGGUAGCAAACAGG
rnacentral:rRNA from 1 species